UCCCCCCAACAAGAUGAUAUUUACAUACCGGAGUUUUAUAUCUUUAAUCACUGAUUGAAAACUGAUUUAAUUCAGCUAUACUACUUUGCGUGGGUAUAAACUACAUGAAAGUAUUCAUACAACAUACUUUGAAAUUAUUAUACCAGGUUAAUAGUUAGUUGAAACUUGCUUGUACUAAUGUUAGAAACAUUACUCCCAACGUGAAAAAUUUAGCAUCAUCAAGUGCUCUUAAAUAGAUUGUAUAUUUGUUGAGAUUAAAUCAGUCCUCUUUAUGGGAGGACGUAUAUGCAUAUCUCUAUGCGUGCUCAAUGGAGCCCCAACGAAAUUCCUUUAACGGUAAUACACGCUAUACAUGUGACUGAAUUAAGAAAAACUAUAUCGUGAUCUCAUCGUAAUCGUUUCUGAAAAUUUUUGAGGACAAUUUGCGGAUACGUGCAUGCAUUUUUGUGAAAAAAAUGUUCAUGUUUUCUCUCGAAGAAAACAACUGCUCGAGUACACGCACUUGCCCGCAAUGGUACAAAAUAAUGCACGGUAUAAGCUGAAAUGAACAUUUCUUAAUCAAGAGUCUUUUAACGAAGGAGAGACAACAAUGACAAGAUAGGCUUACUUACUUGAAACUACUAGUCAAUGAAUCUACUGGUAUGAGGUGAGUAGAUAUUGUAAAAAUGUUAUUAUGCGUAAUUCUAUUUUAAUAUUCGGGUGGGAACGUUGAAAUAAACAUAUGGCAAAGCUUACAAAAAGAUUUGCUUAAGUUAUAACUUAUGAAAUUAAUUCAUAAUUUAAAUUAUGAACAUAGUAUAUAUAGUGACAAUAUUUUAAAAAUCUUAUGAAUACAAAUGACAAAUUCUUUUAUUAUUGUUUACAAUUUAGAUGUUAUAGAUAAGUAACAUCUUAAUUUAAAUAUUGUAUAAUUUGUAAUCUUUGCCACUAUAUCUAAAUUUAUCUCUCUGAUGGGUGCAAAACUCCAAAACUAUUAGGAGCAAUUGAAGGAGUUACAUUCCAUAAAUGGUAUAUUUCGUCAUCUGGAUUCAAUAUAAAUUGACUGUACUCUGAACCUUAAUAUUUCUGCAUCAUUAUACAAAACCCAAUCGUUUUAUUAUACGAAUCUGUAAAGAAAAAUAGAAAACUUAAUACUUGUGUGCAAAUUUACCAGCCUAGACUGUAUUUUUUUACCUAUGACAACCAAAAUGUAUUUACGUACCAAUUUUAGCAAAUGGUUGUCUAGGUUUGCUAUUUGAAAUCUAGGCUGCUGUACAUAAUUACCAUCUGAACAAAAAAACCUUUAUAGAAUUGUUUAUGAAAGUAUUACUUACUGUCUGGGUGGUAAACAUAUGUGGGAUGAAUUUUCUGAACAUUGUUAGACACAUGAAAAUUGAUUAAAAUUACUGCAUUAUAUUGCUAAUGAAUUGAACUGCCUUAAUAUGUAACAUUUAAAAUUGAAUAGGUAGGAGAACUCGACGUAAUAAUUUCCAUAUAUAUCCUAUAAUAAUUUACGUUUCAUCCAGCUCCAACAUCACAUUCAUUUCUUGAAUAACAUCUAUUUUUCGUUCUAAAAUCAACUUGUGCAAAUAUUUGAACUUUUAAUAAUCAUCUUAUAUUUAAUAUAUCUUUUAAAAAUGAUUUUUUAAAAUCUAGUCUAAUGAUACAAUUUUUCUUCAGCAUCUUCGCUAGAAUUUUUUUAUAUUUACAGUAUUUGUUUGCUUGCUCACAUUGCUUUUUAUUGAAGAGAAAUUGAUACACUGGUACUUAGUGAACAUGUUCUUGAAAUUUAGGAUUGUGAAGUUCUGAAAUAAUCACUCAUACAGGUUUUACUUAUCAAACAAUGUUUCCGUUAUAUUUUAUACGGAACACGUACAUUAAUUUGUCGAUUUUUGGAUUGAAUCAACGGAUCAGCAUCAUGUUAUCAUAUGAAAUGCUUAUUUAAUUUUUUGUCUUUGCAGAUGUUUGUAGCGGUUGCUGGCUGAAGACAUAUACAAGGAACAUAUUAGAAACGAAAGUGUACUGAAACUCUACAACCUAUGGGAUGCAGCAUAUUACUUUAUGAAGCGGAUCUCUACAUUUGAAAUAUAGAACCAUGUAAUAAUAAGUAGGACGAAAUGCUUCGAAUGGGAUUUGGAAGACUAAGGAAGUUUUCACAAAAGCAUGGUAUAAGUGAUACGAAUAUGAAUAUUUGAUAUGAAAGUACAAAAAUACAACGUACAAUGAAUUACUCUUAUUAUUGUACGAAAAUUACGAAUCUGAAUCUCUUCUACUUAAGAAUCCUCUUCCUCUUUUCACAUACAUGCUUCUGCAAUCGAAGAUGGCUUGCCGAUAGGCAUGUUUGUAAAUAUCUCGUUUACUUUUUCUUAAAAUAUUAUUAUUAUGGUGUCAAUAAAUAUCAAGUAUCGAGUUGAAGUGCUGAGAAUUCUACUACUGAUCUACCAAUGCGUAAUGGAGUUUAACUUGUAAAUUAAUUAUAUCAGUUUUUAUGCUUAAAAACACAUCUGCGAAAAAUGGCUUAUUCCAAUGGCAAAAUAAAACUUGUUACCUGUUAAAA